rnacentral:rRNA from 1 species
UGCCGCGUGUAUGAAGAAGGCCUUCGGGUUGUAAAGUACUUUCAGUCGUGAGGAAGGCGGCGUCGUUAAUAGCGGCGUUGUUUGACGUUAGCGACAGAAGAAGCACCGGCUAACUCCGUGCCAGCAGCCGCGGUAAUACGGAGGGUGCGAGCGUUAAUCGGAAUUACUGGGCGUAAAGCGCAUGCAGGUGGUUUGUUAAGUCAGAUGUGAAAGCCCGGGGCUCAACCUCGGAAUAGCAUUUGAAACUGGCAGACUAGAGUACUGUAGAGGGGGGUAGAAUUUCAGGUGUAGCGGUGAAAUGCGUAGAGAUCUGAAGGAAUACCGGUGGCGAAGGCGGCCCCCUGGACAGAUACUGACACUCAGAUGCGAAAGCGUGGGGAGCAAACAGGAUUAGAUACCCUGGUAGUCCACGCCGUAAACGAUGUCUACUUGGAGGUUGUGGCCUUGAGCCGUGGCUUUCGGAGCUAACGCGUUAAGUAGACCGCCUGGGGAGUACGGUCGCAAGAUUAAAACUCAAAUGAAUUGACGGGGGCCCGCACAAGCGGUGGAGCAUGUGGUUUAAUUCGAUGCAACGCGAAGAACCUUACCUACUCUUGACAUCCAGAGAACUUUCCAGAGAUGGAUUGGUGCCUUCGGGAACUCUGAGACAGGUGCUGCAUGGCUGUCGUCAGCUCGUGUUGUGAAAUGUUGGGUUAAGUCCCGCAACGAGCGCAACCCUUAUCCUUGUUUGCCAGCGAGUAAUGUCGGGAACUCCAGGGAGACUGCCGGUGAUAAACCGGAGGAAGGUGGGGACGACGUCAAGUCAUCAUGGCCCUUACGAGUAGGGCUACACACGUGCUACAAUGGCGCAUACAGAGGGCAGCCAACUUGCGAAAGUGAGCGAAUCCCAAAAAGUGCGUCGUAGUCCGGAUUGGAGUCUGCAACUCGACUCCAUGAAGUCGGAAUCGCUAGUAAUCGUG